GACAGAGGGUGCAAACGUUGUUCGGAAUUACUGGGCGUAAAGCGCGUGUAGGCGGCUAUGCAAGUCGGAUGUGAAAGCCCCUCGGCUCAACCGGGGGAAGUGCACCCCGAAACUGCGUAGCUAGAGUCUCGGAGAGGAUCGUGGAAUUCUCGGUGUAGAGGUGAAAUUCGUAGAUAUCGAGAGGAACACCUGCGGCGAAGGCGGGUUGCUGGGCUGAUACUGACGCUGAGGCGCGAAAGCCAGGGGAGCGAACGGG
rnacentral:rRNA from 1 species